rnacentral:rRNA from 1 species
CUGGCGGCGUGCCUAACACAUGCAAGUCGAGCGAGGAGAUCCUUCGGGAUGAUCCUAGCGGCGGACGGGUGAGUAACACGUGGGCAACCUGCCUCAUAGAGAGGAAUAGCCUUCCGAAAGGGAGAUUAAUACCUCAUAACAUUGCAGUUUCGCAUGGAACAGCAAUUAAAGGAGCAAUCCACUAUGAGAUGGGCCCGCGGCGCAUUAGCUAGUUGGUGAGGUAACGGCUCACCAAGGCGACGAUGCGUAGCCGACCUGAGAGGGUGAUCGGCCACAUUGGGACUGAGACACGGCCCAGACUCCUACGGGAGGCAGCAGUGGGGAAUAUUGCACAAUGGGGGAAACCCUGAUGCAAGCAACGCCGCGUGAGUGAUGACGGCCUUCGGGUUGUAAAGCUCUGUCUUCAGGGACGAUAAUGACGGUACCUGAGGAGGAAGCCACGGCUAACUACGUGCCAGCCGCAGC